rnacentral:pre_miRNA from 2 species
AUGAGCAUGAUGGAGAAGCAGGGCACGUGUAUUACCAACUCAUCAUUCUCAUAUUAUGUGAAUGUUGAGGAGUGAGGACCACAAAGUUGAGGGUUUUAGCCUUCAAUGGUUUGAAUCCUUGGCGUGUGAUGACUAGCCCACGCUAAGGACUUUCUAAUUGAUCGAGUUGGUGCUUCAUGUGCCCAUCUUCCCCAUCAUGACCAU